CCUGGUUGAUCCUGCCAGUAGUGAUAUGCUUGUCUAAAAGACUAAGCCAUGCAAGUGUCAGCAUAAAGGUCUUUAUACUGAAGCUGCAGAUGGCUCAUUAUAUCAGUUAUCGCUUAUUUGAUGUUGACUUUCUACAUGGAUAACCGUAGAAAACUAGAGCUAAUACAUGCAUCAAAGGGUAUUUCCUCGUGAAGUGCCCUGUAUUUAUUAGAUUAAGACCAAUCCCAUUCGGGUUUUUUGGUGAUUCAUGAUAACUAUUCGAAUCGCAUAGCCUUGUGCUGGCGAUAGGUCAUUCAAAUUUCUGCCCUAUCAGCUUUCGAUGGUAGUGUAGUGGACUACCAUGGCGUUGACGGGUUCGGGGAAUUAGGGUUUGAUUCCGGAGAGGGGGCCUGAGAAACGGCCACCACAUCCAAGGAAGGCAGCAGGCGCGCAAAUUACCCAAUCCUAAUUUAGGGAGGUAGUGACUAUAUUUGUGGGUGCUGUGCAUUUCAUGUGUAGCAACCCAAUAGCUCGAGGAUUAAAACACCUCUAGUAAUCAGUGGAGGGCAAGUCUGGUGCCAGCAGCCGCGGUAAUACCAGCUCCACUAGCGUAUACUAAUGUUGUUGCGGUUAAAAAGCUCGUAGUUGGAUAUCUACCGAUUGUAUCGCGUUCCGACUUUGUUCGUGUGACGCUUGAUACAUUUGGUAUUCUUUCGUAUUGUAUCUAGGUCUUUAUUGGUCUAUUUACCAAUGCGAAUCAGUUACUGUGAGCAAAAUAGAGUGUUCAAAGCAGGCUCAAAGCCUUGAAUACAUUAGCAUGGAAUAACAAGAUAGGCCUUUGGUUUUAUUUUGUUGGUUUUAAUAACUAAAGGAAUGAUUGAUAGGGAUAGUUGGGGAUGCUCGUAUUGAAUGGCCAGCGGUGAAAUGCUUUGAUUCAUUCAAGACGAACUACUGCGAAAGCAUUCAUCAAGGAUGUCUUCUUUAAUCAAGAACGAAAGUAGGGGGAUCGAAGAGGAUCAGAUACCCUCGUAGUCCCUACCAUAAACGAUGCCAAUUGAGGAUCAGGUCAUGUUGUGUUCGACUGACUUGGCACUCUAUCCGAAAGGAAAAUUUGUGGGCUCCUGGGGGAGUAUGGUCGCAAGGCUGAAACUUAAAGGAAUUGACGGAAGGGCACCACCAGGCGUGGAGCCUGCGGCUCAAUUUGACCCAACACGGGAAAACUUACCAGGUCCGGACAUAGUGAGGAUUGGCAGAUUGAAGCUCUUUCUUGAUUCUGUGGAUGGUGGUGCAUGGCCGUUCUUAGUUGGUGGAGUGAUUUGUCUGGUUUAUUCCGUUAACGAACGAGACCUCAGCCUGCUAAAUAGUCCUGUGUAGGUUUACCUAUGCAGUACUUCUUAGAGGGACUACUGGUAUCGAGCCAGUGGAAGUUUGAGGCAAUAACAGGUCUGUGAUGCCCUUAGAUGUUCUGGGCUGCACGCGCGCUACACUGUUGCAUUCAGCGAGUUUUACCCUUGAUCGGAAGGUCUGGGUAAUCUUUGAAAGUGCAACGUGCUGGGGCUAGAUUAUUGCAAUUAUUAAUCUUAAACUAGGAAUGCCUAGUAAACGCAUG
rnacentral:rRNA from 1 species